UUGGAACCCCGCACAUAGAGCCCCACACCCACACCUAGAACCCCACCAACCCUUUUGAGCUCUCCUCCUGGAAGUGAGCCUGAGAUGGGGCACGACUCAGUUUAAGCCUCCAGACACCAGCCUCUGAGCUGAGCCUGUGCAUUGCACCAGAGAUUACUGGCUGGAUGGAGCUAAAAUGCUGCUGGGGAUCAUGCUAACAAUUCAGUAAUAUGCUGUUCCAGUACUUGUGCCCCAGGUAGGAAAGUCAGUUUGUCAGAUGACAGCCGCUUUCCCAGCUGAUAUAGUUGCAUUCACCCUCCUUAAAUGCUCAGGUUUUUUUUCUGUGUGGACUGUGUCUCUGAAUUUGCAAGUUAAUUCAUGCAAAAAUUCCUAAGCUGAUUCACUUUUAAAAUUACAAGUUGUGAGAAAACACCUUUCAUAUGACAAAAAUUGGAACACAUCUGCUGAAGGCUGAGUGAUAGAAGUCCCCUGAUGUUUAAACAUGCAAAGCAUGUCAUCACUAAUGCAGAGAACUGAGAGAAUAUGGGUCUUACUAAGAAGAAAAUAGGGUGAACAAGGGUACAGAAAAUGGAGAUGUUUUUCCUUUGUUCUGAUUUUUUUUAUCCUUAAAACUUUCAUAAGAAACAUGUAUCUCUGUUAUCUGGUUCCAAUUUUUAUUCUAACAUAAGAACUGAACAAUGAAAACUUAAAAAGGGUAGAACCUUCAGAAAUUU
rnacentral:lncRNA from 1 species